GCACCUGCUCAUUUCUGGCUGUUGUGACCUCAUGUAACCCUCAACAUUCUUCUGCUCUGUGUUCCAUGCUCACAUAGUCUCUAACAAUUCUUCUGUGUAGCCUUCAAUGAUUCUCCCACCCCACACUCUGCACUCAUAUAGUCUCUAACAAUUCUUCUGUGUAGCCUUCAAUGAUUCUUCUGCCCCACACUCCACACUCAUAUAGUUUCUAACAAUUCUUCCAUGUAGCCCUCAAUGAUUCUCCCACCUCACACUCUGUGCUCAUGUAGUCUCUAACAAUUCUUCCAUGUAGUCUUCAAUGAUUCUCUCAUUCCACACUUCACACUUAUAUAGUUUCUAACAAUUCUUUCAUAUAGCUCU
rnacentral:sRNA from 1 species